rnacentral:tRNA from 1 species
GUGGGCGUGCCGGAGUGGUCAAACGGGAUGGACUCAAAAUCCAUUGACUUAGUGUCUACGCAGGUUCGAGCCCUGCCGCCCACA